rnacentral:rRNA from 1 species
UCCAGACUCCUACGGGAGGCAGCAGUGGGGAAUAUUGCACAAUGGGGGAAACCCUGAUGCAGUGACGCCGCGUGAGCGAAGAAGUAUUUCGGUAUGUAAAGCUCUAUCAGCAGGGAAGAAAAAUGACGGUACCUGAGUAAGAAGCACCGGCUAAAUACGUGCCAGCAGCCGCGGUAAUACGUAUGGUGCAAGCGUUAUCCGGAUUUACUGGGUGUAAAGGGAGCGCAGGCGGUGCGGCAAGUCUGAUGUGAAAGCCCGGGGCUCAACCCCGGGACUGCAUUGGAAACUACCGAACUAGAGUGUCGGAGAGGUAAGUGGAAUUCCUAGUGUAGCGGUGAAAUGCGUAGAUAUUAGGAGGAACACCAGUGGCGAAGGCGGCUUACUGGACGAUAACUGACGCUGAGGCUCGAAAGCGUGGGGAGCAAACAGGAUUAGAUACCCGUGUAA